rnacentral:misc_RNA from 1 species
UUUCCGUAGGUGAACCUGCGGAAGGAUCAUUAUCAUGUAAUUCAGUCCCCUUGGCUGUGUUAUAUAUAUACCCACUCUGUGUACCUUCUCCUGUUGCUUCCGCUGGGUGUGUAAUUCGCCCGGCAGAAGGGUAAAAAUAACCUCUGAGUAUUGAUGAAAUCUCUGUCUGAACCGAAUAGAAAGAAAAAUGUUAAAACUUUCAGCAACGGAUCUCUUGGUUCUC